rnacentral:piRNA from 1 species
UGAACUCCUGUUCUACACUUCCCCCCUUC